CCUACGGGAGGCAGCAGUGGGGAAUAUUGCACAAUGGGGGAAACCCUGAUGCAGCGACGCCGCGUGGGUGACGAAGUAUUUCGGUAUGUAAAGCCCUAUCAGCAGGGAAGAAGAUGACAGUACCUGACCAAGAAGCCCCGGCUAACUACGUGCCAGUAGCCGCGGUAAUACGUAGGGGGCAAGCGUUAUCCGGAUUUACUGGGUGUAAAGGGAGCGUAGGUGGCAUGGCAAGCCAGAAGGGAAAUGCCGGGGCUUAACCCCGCGGAUUGCUUUUGGAACUGGCAGGCUGGAGUGCAGGAGGGGUAGGCGGAAUUCCUGGUGUAGCGGUGAAAUGCGUAGAUAUCAGGAGGAACACCGGUGGCGAAGGCGGCCUGCUGGACUGUAACUGACACUGAGGCUCGAAAGCGUGGGGAGCAAACAGGAUUAGAUACCCCAGUAGUC
rnacentral:rRNA from 1 species